rnacentral:lncRNA from 13 species
ACUGCAAGAACAGCUCUGUGUCUUCAGGCUAUUCAGUGUGGGAGAAUGGGAAAUGUGGGUACCCGGUGUCCAAGUAGGUUACACGUAACUGUGUGCGUGGAAAACAUUUCAUCACAGGGUCCAGCUUUUCUGGUUAGGUUAACAGAUAAGGAAAAACUCUGGGCCCCAUUGGGUAAAAAUUGCCCACCCGCUCUGGGACCUACGGCGCCACCAGUCUGCCUGCAGUUGUCUGUUAUCAUCAGCUAA